UCAGUGACGAUGGAUUAAGGGAUGCCAAAUCGGCAAAUGAUGCUUCUUCAUAUGAAGCACACUAUGUCCGUCUGAAUCGUGAUCAUCAUGGGCUUUGCUUCUACCUAUUUGGUGAAGUAGUCGGUUGCCACGAUCAUCAUGCCUUUGCCCCUAGUAGUCUGGCUGGUGAUUAGUUGGGAAUCAGAAUGAAUUGAAAGCUUUUUCACCACCAAUUUUUUUGUCAUUCGAAGUCCUGCUAGUGGGGCUUUGUACUCUGCUUCGUUGUUAGAUGCUUUGAAGCUUAAAAUGAUUACCUG
rnacentral:lncRNA from 1 species